rnacentral:rRNA from 1 species
CCUACGGGAGGCAGCAGUAGGGAAUUUUCGUCAAUGGGCGCAAGCCUGAACGAGCGAUGCCGCGUGAGUGAAGAAGGCCUUCGGGUCGUAAAGCUCUGUUGCGGGGGAAAAAAGGCAGCAUCAGGAAAUGGGUGCUGACUGAUGGUGCUCCGCCAGAAAGUCACGGCUAACUACGUGCCAGCAGCCGCGGUAAUACGUAGGUGGCGAGCGUUAUCCGGAUGGAUUGGGCGUAAAGGGUGCGGAGGCGGCCCUGCAAGUCUGGAGUGAAACGAAUGGGCUCAACUCAUGCAUGGCUUUGGAAACUGGAGGACUGGAGAGCAGGAGAGGGCGGUGGAACUCCGUGUGUAGCGGUAAAAUGCGUAGAUAUAUGGAAGAACACCAGUGGCGAAGGCGGCCGCCUGGGCUGUUGCUGACGCUGAGGCACGAAAGCGUGGGGAGCAAAUAGGAUUAGAUACCCUGGUAGUC